AACGAACGCUGGCGGCAGGCUUAACACAUGCAAGUCGAACGGGUGUAGCAAUACAUCAGUGGCAGACGGGUGAGUAACACGUGGGAACCUUCCUAGGGGUACGGAACAACUCAGGGAAACUUGAGCUAAUACCGUAUACGUCCGUGAGGAGAAAGAUUUAUCGCCCUUAGACGGGCCCGCGUCGGAUUAGGUAGUUGGUGGGGUAACGGCCUACCAAGCCUACGAUCCGUAGCUGAUCUUAGAGGAUGAUCAGCCACACUGGGACUGAGACACGGCCCAGACUCCCACGGGAGGCAGCAGUGGGGAAUCUUGGACAAUGGGCGCAAGCCUGAUCCAGCCAUGCCGCGUGAGUGAAGAAGGCCUUAGGGUUGUAAAGCUCUUUUACCAGGGACGAUAAUGACGGUACCUGGAGAAUAAGCCCCGGCAAACUUCGUGCCAGCCGCCGCAGUAAGAC
rnacentral:rRNA from 1 species